rnacentral:rRNA from 1 species
AUACGUAUGUCGCAAGCGUUAUCCGGAUUUAUUGGGCGUAAAGCGCGUCUAGGCGGCUUAGUAAGUCUGAUGUGAAAAUGCGGGGCUCAACCCCGUAUUGCGUUGGAAACUGCUAAACUAGAGUACUGGAGAGGUAGGCGGAAAUACAAGUGUAGAGGGGAAAUUCGUAGAUAUUUGUAGGAAUGCCGAUGGGGAAGCCAGCCUACUGGACAGAUACUGACGCUAAAGCGCGAAAGCGUGGGUAGCAAACAGGAUUAGAUACCCUGGUAGUCCACGCCGUAAACGAUGAUUACUAGGUGUUGGGGGUCGAACCUCAGCGCCCAAGCUAACGCGAUAAGUAAUCCGCCUGGGGAGUACGUACGCAAGUAUGAAACUCAAAGGAAUUGACGGGG